rnacentral:rRNA from 1 species
UGAGGAACUUGCCCAUGAGCGGGGACAACAUUCGGAAACGUAUGCUAAUACCCCAUAGGUGGAUUGGUCGCAUGACGAAUUCAUUAAAGGUGGCUUUGCUACCACUCAUGGAUAGCCUCGCGGCGUAUUAGCUAGUUGGUAAGGUAAUGGCUUACCAAGGCAGUGAUACGUAGCCGACUUGAGAGGGUGAUCGGCCACACUGGGACUGAGACACGGCCCAG